rnacentral:rRNA from 1 species
GAUGAACGCUGGCGGCGUGCCUAAUACAUGCAAGUCGAGCGAACAGACGAGGAGCUUGCUCCUCUGACGUUAGCGGCGGACGGGUGAGUAACACGUGGAUAACCUACCUAUAAGACUGGGAUAACUUCGGGAGACCGGAGAUAAUAACGGAUAAUAUAUUGAACCGCAUGGAUCAAUAGUGAAAGACGGUUUUGCUGUCACUAUUAGAUGGAUCCGCGCCGCAUUAGCUAGUUGGUAAGGUAACGACUUACCAAGGCAACGAUGCGUAGCCGACCUGAGGGGGUGAUCGGCCACACUGGAACUGGGACACGGUCCAGACUCCAACGGGAGGCAGCGGUGGGGAAUCUUCCGCAAUGGGCGAAAGCUUGACGGAGCAACGCCGCGUGAGUGAUGAAGGUCUUCGGAUCGUAAAACUCUGUAUUAGGGAAGAACAAAUGUGUAAGUAACUAUGCACGUCUUGACGGUACCUAAUCAGAAAGCCACGGCUAACUACGUG